rnacentral:rRNA from 1 species
CAGACUAGAGUGCAGUAGGGGAGACUGGAAUUCCUGGUGUAGCGGUGGAAUGCGCAGAUAUCAGGAGGAACACCGAUGGCGAAGGCAGGUCUCUGGGCUGUAACUGACGCUGAGAAGCGAAAGCAUGGGGAGCGAACAGGAUUAGAUACCCUGGUAGUCCAUGCCGUAAACGUUGGGCACUAGGUGUGGGGGACAUUCCACGUUUUCCGCGCCGUAGCUAACGCAUUAAGUGCCCCGCCUGGGGAGUACGGCCGCAAGGCUAAAACUCAAAGAAAUUGACGGGGGCCCGCACAAGCGGCGGAGCAUGCGGAUUAAUUCGAUGCAACGCGAAGAACCUUACCAAGGCUUGACAUAUACUGGACCGCAUCAGAGAUGGUGUUUCCCUUCGGGGCUGGUAUACAGGUGGUGCAUGGUUGUCGUCAGCUCGUGUCGUGAGAUGUUGGGUUAAGUCCCGCAACGAGCGCAACCCUCGUUCUAUGUUGCCAGCACGUUAUGGUGGGGACUCAUAGGAGACUGCCGGGGUCAACUCGGAGGAAGGUGGGGAUGACGUCAAAUCAUCAUGCCCCUUAUGUCUUGGGCUUCACGCAUGCUACAAUGGCCGGUACAGAGGGUUGCGAUACUGUGAGGUGGAGCUAAUCCCUAAAAGCCGGUCUCAGUUCGGAUUGGGGUCUGCAACUCGACCCCAUGAAGUCGGAGUCGCUAGUAAUCGCAGAUCAGCAACGCUGCGGUGAAUACGUUCCCGGGCCUUGUACACACCGCCCGUCAAGUCACGAAAGUUGGUAACACCCAAAGCCGGUGGCCUAACCUUUUUGGAGGGAGCCGUCUAAGGUGGGAUUGGCGAUUGGGACUAAGUCGUAACAAGGUAGCCGUACCGGAAGG